AGAUUGUGCCAUAGAAUUCUCACAAAUUAAAUUUAUCUUCCAAGUUGAGGAAAAAGGACAUAACAAAGAGGAACCAGCAAGAGGGAACACAAGAAUACUGUCAAGAAGCAUUUCUUCAUCAACAGUAGUGUGGCUGGACAAAAUGACAUACCACUUCCAGUAGAAUCCAUGCAGCAUCAACAGUGUAUUCAGCCAAGACUCAGACUGCAUUUCAGAUCCAAACCUGGGAGGGAUGAAGUCUGUUGUUCUCUGAACCUUGACCAGUUGGGGACUCUGUUGUUAAUUACCAUCUACAGAAGAAAGAACAUUCACUGAUGGGAACUGAGUGAUUCACUUCUCUAGUAGUAUAAUGAUAAGCAACUAUAAAACGAUGCCAUUUAGC
rnacentral:lncRNA from 1 species